AGGGUGUAAACGCUGCAGACUUGGUGUUGGAAGCCCUUUGGGGGCAUUCAGUGCCGGAGAGAAGUUGUUAAGUCUGCUACUUGGGGAGUACGUCCGCAAGGAUGAAACUUAAAGGAAUUGGCGGGGGAGCACCGCAACGGGAGGAGCGUGCGGUUUAAUUGGAUUCAACACCGUAAAACUCACCAGGGAAGACUGUUACAUGAAGGCCGAGAUGAAGACUCUGCUAGAUUUUCAGAGAGGUGGUGCAUGGCGUCAGUGGCU
rnacentral:rRNA from 1 species